UACGUAGGGUGCGAGCGUUGUCCGGAAUUAUUGGGCGAAAGAGCUUGUAGGCGGUUUGUCGCGUCUGCCGUGAAAAUCCGGGGCUCAACCCCGGACUGCGGUGGGUACGGGCAGACUAGAGUGUGGUAGGGGAGACUGGAAUUCCUGGUGUAGCGGUGAAAUGCGCAGAUAUCAGGAGGAACACCGGUGGCGAAGGCGGGUCUCUGGGCAGUAACUGACGCUGAGGAGCGAAAGCGUGGGGAGCAAACAGG
rnacentral:rRNA from 1 species